UGAACGCUGGCGGCGUGCCUAAUACAUGCAAGUCGAGCGAACGGACGAGAAGCUUGCUUUUCUGAUGUUAGCGGCGGACGGGUGAGUAACACGUGGAUAACCUACCUAUAAGACUGGGAUAACUUCGGGAAACCGGAGCUAAUACCGGAUAAUAUUUUGAACCGCAUGGUUCAUAAGUGAAAGACGGUCUUGCUGUCACUUAUAGAUGGAUCCGCGCUGCAUUAGCUAGUUGGUAAGGUAACGGCUUACCAAGGCAACGAUGCAUAGCCGACCUGAGAGGGUGAUCGGCCACACUGGAACUGAGACACGGUCCAGACUCCUACGGGAGGCAGCAGUAGGGAAUCUUCCGCAAUGGGCGAAAGCCUGACGGAGCAACGCCGCGUGAGUGAUGAAGGUCUUCGGAUCGUAAAACUCUGUUAUUAGGGAAGAACAUAUGUGUAAGUAACUGUGCACAUCUUGACGGUACCUAAUCAGAAAGCCACGGCUAACUACGUG
rnacentral:rRNA from 1 species